AGAGUUUGAUCCUGGCUCAGGAUGAACGCUGGCGGCAUGCCUAAUACAUGCAAGUCGAACGAGGGUCCUUCGGGACUCGAGUGGCGAACGGGUGAGUAACACGUAGGGAACCUGCCCGUGCGACCGGGAGAACUUUCGGAAACGGAAGCUGAUACCGGAUAGGGACAGAGACGGCAUCUACUCUGUGUUAAAGGAGCUGAAAGGCUCCGCGCACGGAUGGACCUGCGGUGCAUUAGCUGGUUGGUGAGGUAACGGCCCACCAAGGCGACGAUGCAUAGCCGGCCUGAGAGGGCGGACGGCCACACUGGGACUGAGACACGGCCCAGACUCCUACGGGAGGCAGCAGUAGGGAAUUUUCGCCAAUGGGCGCAAGCCUGAACGAGCAAUGCCGCGUGAACGAGGAAGGUCAUCGGAUCGUAAAGUUCUGUUGAAGGGGAAAAAGAGCGGAGAGAGGAAAUGGUCUCCGAUUGAUAUUACCCUUCGAGGAAGUCACGGCUAACUACGUGCCAGCAGCCGCGGUAAUACGUAGGUGGCGAGCGUUAUCCGGAAUGAUUGGGCGUAAAGGGUGCGUAGGCGGCCUGCUAAGUCUGGAGUGAAAGGUACCGGCUCAACCGGUACAGGCUCUGGAAACUGGCGGGCUAGAGAGCAGGAGAGGGCGGUGGAACUCCAUGUGUAGCGGUAAAAUGCGUAGAUAUAUGGAAGAACACCAGUGGCGAAGGCGGCCGCCUGGCCUGUUACUGACGCUGAGGCACGAAAGCGUGGGGAGCAAAUAGGAUUAGAUACCCUAGUAGUCCACGCCGUAAACGAUGAGGACCAAGUGUUGGGGAAGACCCAGUGCUGCAGUUAACGCAGUGAGUCCUCCGCCGGGGGAGUAUGCACGCAAGUGUGAAACUCAAAGGAAUUGACGGGGGCCCGCUCAAGCGGUGGAGUAUGUGGUUUAAUUCGAAGCAACGCGAAGAACCUUACCAGGCCUUGACAUAGGGUGCGAAGCUAUGGAGACAUAGUGGAGGUAAACAUCCAUACAGGUGGUGCAUGGUUGUCGUCAGCUCGUGUCGUGAGAUGUUCAGUUAAGUCUGGCAACGAGCGCUACCCUCGUGAUGUGUUACCAAUAUCGAGUUAGGGACUCACAUCAGACUGCCGGUGAGAAACCGGAGGAAGGCGGGGAUGACGUCAAAUCAUCAUGCCCCUUAUGGCCUGGGCUACACACGUACUACAAUGGCGGCGACAGAGGGCAGCGAGCCUGCGAAGGCAAGCGAAUCCCCAAAAAGCCGUCCCAGUUCGGAUUGGAGUCUGCAACCCGACUCCAUGAAGUUGGAAUCGCUAGUAAUCGCGGAUCAGCAUGCCGCGGUGAAUACGUUCUCGGGCCUUGCACACACCGCCCGUCAA
rnacentral:rRNA from 1 species